UCAGCUCGUGUCGUGAGAUGUUGGUUUAAGUCCCGCAACGAGCGCAACCCCUGUGAUCUGUUGCCACCGGCGCAAGCCGAGCACUCUGAUCAGACUGCCCUGUGAAACGGGGAGGAAGGUGGGGACGACGUCAAGCCAGUAUGGCCCUUACGGCCAGGGCUGCACACGUACUACAAUGCUCAGGACAGAAUGAACCGAAAUCGCGAGAUGGAGGAAAUCCCUAAACCUGAGCUCAGUUCGGAUUGAAGGCUGCAACUCGCCUUCAUGAAGUUGGAAUUGCUAGUAAUGGCGCAUCAGCUACGGCGCCGUGAAUACGUUCCCGG
rnacentral:rRNA from 1 species